rfam:Gossypium raimondii Chr05_contig_1344, whole genome shotgun sequence.
UAUUAGAAACUUCAUCCAUUUUUUCAGUUAAAAACUGGGGUAAAUGACAUGUAGCAUGCCAUGUGUAACUCAUGUUACAGGGACCAGUUUUUAACAAUAAAAAUGGAUGAAAGUUUUAAUA